rnacentral:rRNA from 1 species
CCUACGGGAGGCAGCAGUAGGGAAUAUUGGGCAAUGGGCGAGAGCCUGACCCAGCCAUGCCGCGUGCCGGAUGAAGGCCUUCUGGGUUGUAAACGGCUUUUCUCAGGGAAGAAAAAGCCCAUGCGUGGGACACUGACGGUACCUGAGGAAUAAGCACCGGCUAACUCCGUGCCAGCAGCCGCGGCAAUACGGAGGGUGCAAGCGUUGUCCGGAUUUAUUGGGUUUAAAGGGUGUGUAGGCGGCCCGUUAAGUCCGGGGUGAAAGCCCACAGCUCAACUGUGGAACUGCCCUGGAUACUGGCGGGCUUGAGUCCAGACGAGGUUGGCGGAAUGGAUGGUGUAGCGGUGAAAUGCAUAGAUACCAUCCAGAACCCCCGAUUGCGUAGGCAGCUGACUAGGCUGGUACUGACGCUGGGGCACGAAAGCGUGGGGAGCGAACAGGAUUAGAUACCCUGGUAGUCCACGCCGUAACGAUAGAUACUCGCUGGUGGCGGAGUAGACAGUCACUGGUCGUUAGUACGAACGGACGGUAAGGUAUCCCACCGUCGGGAGGUACGCGUCGCGAGAGUAGAACGUACGAAUAGAAGUUAGACGGCGUGAGACGUGCCGACGGACGACGACGAGGGAGGUUAGG